rnacentral:rRNA from 1 species
AUUGAACGCUGGCGGCAUGCCUUACACAUGCAAGUCGAACGGCAGCACGGGAGCAAUCCUGGUGGCGAGUGGCGAACGGGUGAGUAAUAUAUCGGAACGUGCCCAGUCGUGGGGGAUAACGCAGCGAAAGCUGUGCUAAUACCGCAUACGAUCUAUGGAUGAAAGCGGGGGAUCGCAAGACCUCGCGCGAUUGGAGCGGCCGAUAUCAGAUUAGCUAGUUGGUGAGGUAAAGGCUCACCAAGGCGACGAUCUGUAGCUGGUCUGAGAGGACGACCAGCCACACUGGAACUGAGGCACGGUCCAGACUCCUACGGGAGGCAGCAGUGGGGAAUUUUGGACAAUGGGCGAAAGCCUGAUCCAGCAAUGCCGCGUGCAGGAUGAAGGCCUUCGGGUUGUAAACUGCUUUUGUACGGAACGAAACGGUGAGCUCUAAUACAGUUUGCUAAUGACGGUGCCGUAAGAAUAAGCACCGGCUAACUACGUGCCAGCCGCCGCGGUAAAAC